ACGUUAGCGGCGGACGGGUGAGUAACACGUGGGUAACCUACCUAUAAGACUGGGAUAACUUCGGGAAACCGGAGCUAAUACCGGAUAAUAUUUCGAACCGCAUGGUUCGAUAGUGAAAGAUGGUUUUGCUAUCACUUAUAGAUGGACCCGNGCCGUAUUAGCUAGUUGGUAAGGUAACGGCUUACCAAGGCAACGAUACGUAGCCGACCUGAGAGGGUGAUCGGCCACACUGGAACUGAGACACGGUCCAGACUCCUACGGGAGGCAGCAGGC
rnacentral:rRNA from 1 species